UAGAGCGUCUGGCUGACCCGUCAUUGUCCAGGGAAGCCAUGGAUCUGGUGGCCGCAGCCCAGCGCCGUCCUCACCACCCAGGCCUGCCUGGAGCCCAGUGGCUGUCAGGGCAGCCGAGACCAGAAGCGCAGGUGGAGCCAAGGCCCCGCUGCAGUCCGCAGAGUUGCAACUCUGGGAGCUGAGCCCUCACAAGCCUUGCUUUUCACCUCCUCCCAGUGCUACCAGCCAGACCCCGAGGGCCCGGGACCCUCCAUGUACCCAUCCACACUUCUCGGCCCACCCCUCCCUGACAGCCCCGGCACCCCGGGAGGGAGCAGGUGCGUCCCGCUUCGGGCCCUCUGAACCCCCUCCAUUUCGGGCUGUUUCAGACUUCGGCCUCUCUGAAGCUCCUCCAUUUCUGGCUGCUUUUCACUGCCGUCUGCCUGCCUGUGUUCUUGUCUUCACGCCGGCCUUUGGUACGGGAGGGAGCCAUCCACGGCCCACACUGCAGCUCCCGUGACCUCCGCACGGCCCCGUGCGGACACUCAUCUGGAUUUUGUUUGUGCUCAGGAGAGGCUCUGCAUUGAACGACCUUGCACUGGGCCGGUUUCUUUUCUAAAGGACUGCAGUGUGAGAAGGCAGCACCGCCCCGGCGCCCGCGAGGAAGCCGAACUGCUCAUAAGUUAAGCAGCCCCAGCCAGGUCACGGGGCAAGGAAGCCGCCUGCGACCUCGGAAACCCCUGGUUCAUCCCAUGACCCACCCCCGUUCAUCCGGUGACCCACCCCUCACCCCGGUUCAUCCCGUGACCCACCCCCCCGUUCAUCCCAUGACCCAGCCCCCCACCCCGGUUCAUCCCAUGACCCAGCCCCCCACCCCGGUUCAUCCCAUGACCCACCCCCCACCCCGGUUCAUCCCGUGACCCACCCCCCGUUCAUCCCAUGACCCAGCCCCCCACCCCGGUUUAUCCCGUGACCCACCCCCUGUUCAUCCCGUGACCCACCCCCCGUUCAUCCCGUGACCCAGCCCCCAACCCCGUUCAUCCCGUGACCCACCCCCAACCCCGGUUUAGCCCGUGACCCACCCCCCCCCCGUUCAUCCCGUGACCCACCCCCCGGUUCAUCCCGUGACCCAGCCCCCAACCCCGUUCAUCCCGUGACCCAGACCCCACCCUGGUUUAUCCCAUGACCCACCCACGGUUCAUCCUGUGACCCGCCCCCCGUUCAUCCCGUGACCCACCCCCCACCCCUGGUUUAUCCCGUGACCCACCCCCGGGUCAUCCUGUGACCCAGACCCCACCCUGGUUUAUCCCAUGACCCGCCCACGGUUCAUCCUGUGACCCGCCCCCCGUUCAUCCCGUGACCCAGCCCCCCACCCCUGGUUUAUCCCGUGACCCACCCCCGGGUCAUCCUGUGACCCAGACCCCACCCCUGGUUUAUCCCGUGACCCACCCUCGGGUCAUCCCGUGACCCAGACCCCACGCCUGGUUUAUCCCGUGACCCACCCGCAGCACCAGCACCUCAGUGCUGCUUUUGUAUUUAUAGUCGCCUUGCUGUAUGUUGAGCGUAAUUUUACAAUCUGCCCAAAAUUCCUUUGAAGAGCAGAUAGGUGUGUACACCCUAAAUGAAUAAAAUACAGUGCGAUUUGGUGAAAGGUAA
rnacentral:lncRNA from 1 species